GAACGCUGGCGGCAGGCCUAACACAUGCAAGUCGAGCGGUAACAGGAAUUAGCUUGCUAAUUUGCUGACGAGCGGCGGACGGGUGAGUAAUGCCUGGGAAUAUGCCUUAGUGUGGGGGAUAACUAUUGGAAACGAUAGCUAAUACCGCAUAACGUCUUCGGACCAAAGAGGGGGACCUUCGGGCCUCUCGCGCUAAGAUUAGCCCAGGUGGGAUUAGCUAGUUGGUGAGGUAAAGGCUCACCAAGGCAACGAUCCCUAGCUGGUCUGAGAGGAUGAUCAGCCACACUGGAACUGAGACACGGUCCAGACUCCUACGGGAGGCAGCAGUGGGGAAUAUUGCACAAUGGGGGAAACCCUGAUGCAGCCAUGCCGCGUGUAUGAAGAAGGCCUUCGGGUUGUAAAGUACUUUCAGUCGUGAGGAAGGCAUUGUAGUUAAUAGCUGCAGUGCUUGACGUUAGCGACAGAAGAAGCACCGGCUAACUCCGUG
rnacentral:rRNA from 1 species